rnacentral:rRNA from 1 species
GAAAAGAAUGCUAAUACCGCAUAAUAUAUAUUUAUCGCAUGGUAGAUAUAUCAAAGAUUUAUCGCUUAGAGAUGGACUCGCGUCCGAUUAGUUAGUUGGUGAGGUAACGGCUCACCAAGACCGCGAUCGGUAGCCGGACUGAGAGGUUGAACGGCCACAUUGGGACUGAGACACGGCCCAGACUCCUACGGGAGGCAGCAGUGGGGGAUAUUGCGCAAUGGGGGAAACCCUGACGCAGCAACGCCGCGUGAAGGAUGAAGGUCUUCGGAUUGUAAACUUCUUUUAUUAAGGACGAAGAAAGUGACGGUACUUAAUGAAUAAGCUCCGGCUAACUACGUGCCAGCAGCCGCGGUAAUACGUAGGGAGCAAGCGUUGUCCGGAUUUACUGGGUGUAAAGGGUGCGUAGGUGGCUUUGCAAGUCAGAUGUGAAAUCUAUGGGCUCAACCCAUAGCCUGCAUUUGAAACUGCAGAGCUUGAGUGAAGUAGAGGCAGGCGGAAUUCCCCGUGUAGCGGUGAAAUGCGUAGAGAUGGGGAGGAACACCAGUGGCGAAGGCGGCCUGCUGGGCUUUAACUGACGCUGAGGCACGAAAGCGUGGGUAGCAAACAGGAUUAGAUACCCUGGUAGUCCACGCUGUAAACGAUGAUUACUAGGUGUGGGGGGUCUGACCCCUUCCGUGCC